rnacentral:lncRNA from 1 species
CUGCCGUAAACCUAUCUCGGAGCAAGGGACUAGACCUUACUGCUCUUGCACUAAAGACACCAAACCUAAAUAGGGCAGUGGCUCAAACCAGAAGCCAGAUUGCUAACCAAAUGAGGACAGUGCAGAGGCUGAACGGGCCUCGCGUAGGGAAAGCUGCAAGUCAGAACUUGUGGUGCCUCCCCGGACAUGGUGGUGGUAGGGUCUCAGAGGAUUGCGGUGGUUCACCGGACCAGGAAUGGCCUGCUUUUCAGAGCAGAGUACCCUACAGAUAACCCAGAAAUGCCGGGGGAAGAGGUAGUGUCUGUAGUCUGCCAGAGCCUUUCCGGUAGCUUGUGGUGGUGUCUGCCUGUUUUCUCAUCGGUGUUGAGUGCCCCUAAGCCUCGGGGGCUCCCUGCAGCAGCAGAUGGCUGGUGUGAAGGUAGGGGGCUGCGUGGGACGGAGGUGGUUCGCCAGGGCUUCCCCGGCGUCUCCGGUUCGCUCGCAGCAGCGGCAGCGCUGACGCUCCCUGCCCGUGAAACGGAGGGAGCCGCUUUGCCGGGCAGGUGGUGGUAGUGGAAGGGCUGGCCGGGGCCGUGCUUCGGAAACGAGAACUCUCUUGCCUAGAAGCUGUUUUUGCUGCGAAGUGCGUUUUACGAAAAAAAGAGGAAACGAAUCUUGCCUGCUGCAUCUGAGGGAAGCCAUCUUUSUAUUGCUCCUCCCUCUAGCAUGUAACGAACUGCAUAGUUCUCAGCCCUAGCUAUGGCGGUAAGAACCAUAUUUUGCUUUGCUAGGCUGCAAAAGCCUCGUGGCUGCAACCGUUUGGUGACGGCCUUCGUCUGAAAAUACGCGGGGGUGCUGCUCUCGGCGCCCAGCUCGGUGCCGCGCUGCUCUCUCGCGAGGGCUCCGGGGCGCUUGGUACCCGCAACCGCUCGCGUACGUUUUCGGGGUGAAAUCCCCUAGCUCCGCCGCAGCUGCAGGUCGCCCCGCUGCUCAGAGCGAGGGGCAGGGGGCUGAUCCAGGACCACAGAGCCCGCCUGGCCCCCGCGGGGGGCAGCCGCGAGGACCCCCGAGACCGUUGCAGCUGGGGCUGUAGCCUGGGCCGGGGCGCCGGCGUGGCCUGAACGAGCGCGGUGGGAGCUGCCUGGCGCCUUUCCUGGCGCCCAAGAGCUCGAGCCUGGCGCGCUGGCGGGGCGAGGAGGGCACGCGCCCGCUCCCCUGCCUCCCUGCCGCCUCCGGGCCGCCGCGCGCUGCCCCCUCGCUCCCCGGAGCAGGCGCGCUGCCCUCCUCCCCUCCGCCCAGCAUUACGCUCCAGCAACAUUUCAGGUCCUUGCAAUUCUAUUUUUUUGAGGUUAUUUAAAAUAAAAGCUUUCUCACAGCAGGUUCCUGGCUCCUC